rnacentral:rRNA from 1 species
UACGGGGGGGGGCAAGCGUUGUUCGGAAUUACUGGGCGUAAAGGGCUCGUAGGCGGCCAACUAAGUCGGAUGUGAAAUCCCCAGGCUCAACCUGGGAACUGCAUCCGAUACUGGUUGGCUUGAAUCCGGGAGAGGGAUGUGGAAUUCCAGGUGUAGCGGUGAAAUGCGUAGAUAUCUGGAGGAACACCGGUGGCGAAGGCGACA